ensembl:lncRNA novel transcript, antisense RHBDL3
UUUCAACCCCCAACCCCACCCCCAGGAAGAUGAAAGCAAGGCAAACUCCCGAGCCACAACUACCUCAUCUACAAAGUGGGCUACCUUCCUCUCGCAGGGCAGCAGCUCACCAGGGCCUGGGCUCGGAGGCCAGACCAGCUUCCCUUGCUGCGAAGCUGGGAGCAUCCUACUGUGAUGGGGGUGUGGCUGACCCUCUCUGGGCACAUAUCCUACCCUUCCUCCUCCUUCACAGCCUGCUUAAGGAGGACUGGGAUCAUUAGGCAGAUCCAAACUGUGGUUUGGAGCUUUCGGGAAAACAAGCCCCAUCAAUGCAAUUUCCUUGUUAA